UACGUAGGGUGCGAGCGUUAAUCGGAAUUACUGGGCGUAAAGUGUGCGCAGGCGGCCGAGCAAGUCGAGUGUGAAAGCCCCGAGCUUAACUUGGGAACUGCGCUCGAAACUACUUGGCUAGAGUGUGGCAGAGGGAGGUGGAAUUCCAGGUGUAGCGGUGAAAUGCGUAGAUAUCUGGAGGAAUACCGGUGGCGAAGGCGGCAUCCUGGACCGAUAUUGACACUGAUGAGCGAAAGCCAGGGGAGCAAACGGG
rnacentral:rRNA from 1 species